CCGGAGGAGGAAGAUCUGCUGGUUUUCCCAGCAGGGAGCCCUGUUACCAGGAGACCAGGACCUGACGGAUCUGGACUGAUUUCUGCCACGAAGUAGGCAAGGAGUUCUGCAGAAGGGUUUUUCACAGAUCCAGCUAUCACUGAAGUUCUUCAAACACGGAAACGCCUAGCUUCAGUGAUCAUGGGUCAUCUGGGCACCAGUGACGAAAUCUGGCGUGAAAAGAGCUUGCAAUAUGAGACCCCUGGGUCACUGUCACCACCACCAGAUGUGUUCCUUGGACUUUGGACUUCUCAGCCUCACAAACUCUAAG